rnacentral:misc_RNA from 1 species
GAAAUGCGAUAAGUAAUGUGAAUUGCAGAAUUCAGUGAAUCAUCGAAUCGUUGAACGCACCUUGCGCUCCUUGGUAUUCCGAGGCGCAUGCCUGUUUGAGUGUCAUUAAAUUCUCAACCUCACCAAUUUUUGUAAUGAAAGUUGUGUGCAGGCUUGGAUGUGGGGGUUUGCAGGUCCGCCUCUUGGUGGUCUGCUCCUCUCAAAUGCAUUAGUGGGUUUUGCCCCUAAUCUAUUGGUGUCAAAAUUAUCUACGGCGUGGAUCAGGUUGCCUACUAUAGACUUGCUUCUAACCGUCCGUCUCGGACAACUUUGACAUUUUUGACCUCCAAUCAGGUAAGACUACCCGCUGAACUUAA